rnacentral:ncRNA from 2 species
UUUGUAAAAAUUAGUUCAGGCGCUCGUUUAGAGCUUAAUAGGGAACCCCGUGGGAAUCGGGGACGGGCCCGCCGCUGUGAUCGGGGACGAAAGCUGCAUAAGGCCACUGUCCUGCAGUAAGCUGGAUGGGAAGGCGCGGCAAGUAGGAUGAUCCGAGAGUCAGAAGACCUGCUUGAACUGGAAGGCAUAA